AUUGAACGCUGGCGGCAGGCCUAACACAUGCAAGUCGAACGAGUGGCGGACGGGUGAGUAAUGUCUGGGAAACUGCCCGAUGGAGGGGGAUAACUACUGGAAACGGUAGCUAAUACCGCAUACCAUCGGAUGUGCCCAUAUGGGAUUAGCUAGUAGGUGGGGUAACGGCUCACCUAGGCGACGAUCCCUAGCUGGUCUGAGAGGAGGACCAGCCACACUGGGACUGAGACACGGUCCAGACUCCUACGGGAGGCAGCAGUGGGGAAUAUUGCACGAUGGGCGCAAGCCUGAUGCAGCCAUGCCGCGUGUAUGAAGAAGGCCUUCGGGUUGUAAAGUACUUUCAGCGAGGAGGCGUUACUCGCAGAAGAAGCACCGGCUAACUCCGUGCCAGCAGCCGCGGUAAUUC
rnacentral:rRNA from 1 species